UGCUUGGAGAGUAAGCUGAUGACGGACUGUACUUGGCAGACUGAGGAUUAUAGCUUGGAGAUGUAGGGCUGUAACUGGGCGAGGUUGGACUAUAACUAGGCGAGGUUGGGCUGUAACCAGGAGAAGUUGGGCUGUAGGCUGGCGAGGUAGGGCUGUAGGAUGGAGAUGUUGGACUGUAGGAAGGAGAAGUUGGGCUGUAGGAAGGCGAAGUUGGGCUGUAGGAUGGCGAAGUUGGGCUGUAGGAAGGAGACGUGGGACUGUAAGAUGGCGAAGUGGGGCUAUAUGCGGGGGAAGUGGGGCUGUAAGCAG
rnacentral:lncRNA from 1 species